GGACAGCACAUUCCUGUGGGAAAUCUGUGAGGUGGAAAAUCAAAAUUCUCCUGAUGACUGUUUAUAAAGAAUAACGGCUAGCUCAUGUCUUCAGUGUUUUAUAGAUGUGCUCACAUGUAAUCUAAACAAGAACUCUACAAGAGAGGUAUCCAGAGCCCCAUUUUAUAGAUAAGGAAAUUGAGGCUCAGAGAGGACAAGCGACUUGGCUAAGCUCCUGCAGCUGAGUUGGGGGCUGCAUCUGACAAGUGGCCGUGGUUUCAAGUCUCUGGAGUCCCAUUUUUUUCUCUUCCAUGGAGUUUGUUUGCUGCAGUUUGAGCAGCCGAGGCAUAUGAUAAAUACCAGGUUGCCAUUUCCAGAAGUCAGCGGUUUCUGUCUCUUUCAUUCACUGCUGUAUCCUCAGUGCCUAGAACUGUGCUGAGUACAGAGUAGGAAUAGAAUCAUUUUUUGCUAAAUGAAGGGAUGAAUGAAAGAUACCUACUUUAUUGCUUUUUGUGGGGCUUAAAUGAGAUAAUGUCUAGUAAGCCCACAGUGAAGUUCAACAGUUAAGAAAGAGCUCAACCAGUGGUAGUGGUUUACUAUCAUCAUCAUCACUACCACCACCCUCAUAAUCCUCUUCAUCUUUAUUACUGGAAGUGUAUAAGGUGUCCUUAGAAGAAGAGGAGAUUGGGCCCCAGACACACAUGCACAGAAGAAAGACCACGUGAAGACAGAGGGAGAAGUCGGCGAUCUACAAACCAAGGAAACAUCCUCAGAAUGAAACCAACCUUGCCAACCCCUGAUCCUAGACCUCCGGCCUCCACAACGACGGUGAAGCUCCUGGUUCUCGAUCCUUUGCACUCGGACAGGGAGUUAUACCAUUGGCUCUUCUGGUUUUCAGGCCUUUGGACUCAGAUGGAAUUAUACCACAGGGUUUCCUGGAUCUCCAGCAUGCAGAUGGCAGAUUGUGGAACUUCUCAGCCUCCAAAAUCGAUUUUAAUGCUGUGUGAUCAUCUUAGUGCACCACACAUUUUCUGCAUUUUGAUUUUUUUCUUUUGUGGUGACUCCCGAAGAUAGAAUUUCUGAGCUAAAGGAUAUUUUAUUUUACGUUCCUGCAUACUUUUGCCAAAUGGUUGCAUACAAAGGAUGAAGCCUUUACAUUCCCACUGGCAGAGAAUGAGUACCCACAAGUGCCCCAAGUCUAUGGUAACCUGUCCUGUGGAGGGAAAUCUGAAAGCUCUUAGUGAGACCAGUGGGCAGAUGCUAAGGCUGCCCCCAGACAGAGGGAGAAGUCGAACCACCAAGCAUUUGCUAGGCGGCGCAGCAUCUAUGUGGUCAGGGCCAAUGAUAUUCUUUUGCUCUUUCCAGCAUUGCCCAGUGAUCCUGGGGAUGCCGUUUGGAAGCUGCACACCUUUGACAUCUUUAGGGUUGAAGAGAUGAUGCUCCCCAUGGGGGCUGACCAGUGAUCCAUUAGUUUCUCGUGGAGUCUUCGGAGGUCUACGGGGCCUUCCUGGGGUUGCACCUCAUUUCCCCCACUCCUGACUUCGCAAUUUACUCCUUUGGAUUUUUCCAGAAACCGUCUUUGGCAGUUCUGAAACAAAGGCCACCUAGUGACCAAACACAAAACAAAAAACACUUGGAAAUCAUCAUUUCUCAAAAAGACUUUUGUUUUGAAAGAGACAA